rnacentral:rRNA from 1 species
GACGAACGCUGGCGGCGCGCUUAACACAUGCAAGUCGAACGAGGGGCGAACGGGUGAGUAAUACGUGAGUAACCUGCCCUCUGUUGGGGGAAAGCCUUGGAAAAGGGGUCUAAUACCGAAUAAAGGGGGAGGGGCUCGCGGCCUAUCAGCUGGUUGGUGGGGUGAGGGUCUACUAAGGCGGUGACGGGUAGCCGGCCUGAGAGGGUGACCCGCCACAGUGGGACUGAGAUACAGCCCAGACUCCUACAGGAGGUCGCAGUGGGGGAUAAUCCUCAGUGGGCUAAAGCCUGUAUGAGCGUCGUCGCGUGGGGGGUGAAGGCUUUCGGAUUGUAAACCUCUUUCGCUAUCGAAGGGUAGGUGGCGAAGAAGCGCCGGCUAACUCCGUGCCAGCAGCCGCGGUAAUUC